rnacentral:rRNA from 1 species
AACGAACGCUGGCGGCAUGCCUAACACAUGCAAGUCGAACGAGACCUUCGGGUCUAGUGGCGCACGGGUGCGUAACGCGUGGGAACCUGCCCUUAGGUUCGGAAUAACUCCCCGAAAGGGGUGCUAAUACCGGAUAAUGUCUUCGGACCAAAGAUUUAUCGCCUUUGGAUGGGCCCGCGUUGGAUUAGCUAGUUGGUAGGGUAAAAGCCUACCAAGGCGACGAUCCAUAGCUGGGUUGAGAGGAUGAUCAGCCACACUGGGACUGAGACACGGCCCAGACUCCUACGGGAGGCAGCAGUGGGGAAUAUUGGACAAUGGGCGAAAGCCUGAUCCAGCAAUGCCGCGUGAGUGAUGAAGGCCUUAGGGUUGUAAAGCUCUUUUACCCGGGAUGAUAAUGACAGUACCGGGAGAAUAAGCUCCGGCUAACUCCGUG